rnacentral:rRNA from 1 species
AACGAACGCUGGCGGCAGGCCUAACACAUGCAAGUCGAGCGAGGACUUCGGUCCUAGCGGCGGACGGGUGAGUAACGCGUGGGAACGUGCCCUUUGCUUCGGAAUAGCCCUGGGAAACUGGGAGUAAUACCGGAUGAGCCCUUUGGGGGAAAGAUUUAUCGGCGAAGGAUCGGCCCGCGUUGGAUUAGGUAGUUGGUGGGGUAAUGGCCUACCAAGCCGACGAUCCAUAGCUGGUUUGAGAGGAUGAUCAGCCACACUGGGACUCAGACACGGCCCAGACUCCUACGGGAGGCAGCAGUGGGGAAUCUUAGACAAUGGGGGAAACCCUGAUCUAGCCAUGCCGCGUGAGCGAUGAAGGCCUUAGGGUUGUAAAGCUCUUUCAGCUGGGAAGAUAAUGACGGUACCAGCAGAAGAAGCCCCGGCUAACUCCGUG